rnacentral:rRNA from 1 species
AAAUUGAAGAGUUUGAUCAUGGCUCAGAUUGAACGCUGGCGGCAGGCCUAACACAUGCAAGUCGAACGGUAACAGGAAACAGCUUGCUGUUUCGCUGACGAGUGGCGGACGGGUGAGUAAUGUCUGGGAAACUGCCUGAUGGAGGGGGAUAACUACUGGAAACGGUAGCUAAUACCGCAUAACGUCGCAAGACCAAAGAGGGGGACCUUAGGGCCUCUUGCCAUCGGAUGUGCCCAGAUGGGAUUAGCUAGUAGGUGGGGUAAAGGCUCACCUAGGCGACGAUC